UACGUAGGGUCCGAGCGUUGUCCGGAAUUAUUGGGCGUAAAGAGCUCGUAGGCGGUCUGUUGCGUCGGUUGUGAAAACCUGGGGCUCAACUCCAGGCCUGCAAUCGAUACGGGCAGACUAGAGUUCGGUAGGGGAGACUGGAAUUCCCGGUGUAGCGGUGAAAUGCGCAGAUAUCAGGAGGAACACCGGUGGCGAAGGCGGCCCACUGGCUCGACACUGACGCUGAGGUGCGAAAGCGUGGGGAGCAAACAGG
rnacentral:rRNA from 1 species